CCGUAUCACGAUUCGAUUCUUACGAUUCUUUAUUUAGAGUCGUUCAAAUGAACGACUCAUUCACGAAUCGCUACAACUCUAAUGUUCAGUCUUUGCGAGCGGGAGGCUGUGUAACUGUGCGUGAAGCUGAGUUGUUGAUCCACCCCUGGUGCUGAUGACAAAUGGAGACUAAUGCACUUUGACAAAAAGAUGGACCACAAAGGAAUUGUCCAAAUGGGAUGGAAAUGUCCAUGUACAGGAAAUGAUCACAGUUUUAGAAAAAUUGGGUAAUUUAUUUAAGAGAAAGACCUUCAAAAAUUGAGUAAGUCAAUAACACGUUAGUCCAUCUGUGGUCCUCAUGCAAGCAGUUACUGCACUUACCAUUGAUUGAUAGUUAUUGAAUGCCCCCCUGAGGGACAUAGAGACCAAACUCUGUCCAGUUUGUGUGUUAAAGCAUCAAAAUCCUGAGUUGGUUGGAGGGCCCUACCCAUAAGACUCUAAAUGUUCUCAGUUGGGGAGAGGUCCAGCAACCUAGGUGGCCAAGGUAGGAUUUGGCAAGCACAAAGACAAGCAGUAGUAACUCUUGCCAUGCGUAGGUGAGCAUUAUCUCACAGAAAUGUAAUCCUGAGAUGGCUUGCCGUAAAGGGCAGCAGUACAAGGUGUAGAAUAUUGUCGACAGACCGCUAUGCGGUAAGGUUGCCGUGCAUCACAACCGAAGAGCUCCGAUUGUAAAAGUAAAUGGCACACCAGAUCACCACUCCUAGUUACUGGGCCGCACGACAGGCGACAUUCAGGUUAUUAUCACACUGUGGUCCAGGGUGUCUCCAGGCAUAAUGUUAGUCAGGGCUCAGUUCAAAGUGGGAUUCAUCACUGAAGACAGUUCUACUUCACUCAAUGAGAUUCCAUGCCAAAUGCACUCAGCACCACUGCAAACAGGUUUGUUGAUUAUAGAUGGCAGUGCUAGUUGGUGCAACGGGUGCCAUGAGCACAGCCCUCUUUCUGUGACACCGAUUAACUGUUGCUGCGGGCACUGAAGCACCAGUUGCACAUCAGGUUGAUGAUAAUGACAAAUGUGGGGCUCAGAGUGCUCCUUUGACGAUUGAUCAAUCCUCACGUUCUCCCACACGUCUAGAUCGACAGUGCCCUUUUUGACGCUUUGUUUGGCCAUGGUUCAACAUCAUCAGACAGUGGCAUUGCACCUAUUAAAAUGUCAAGUGAUUUGCCAACUGCUUGUAUCAGCUUCUUUGAGCCCAAUUACGCAUGUUGUCUCAACUGCUGAGAUCUACUUAUAUUGUUUACACGCCUAUCUGUGAGGUACAGUUACUGUCCAACUGAGUAAACGGAAUGAAAUUCGCAAGAGCUUUAUGCCGUGGUAUCAACAUGUCCCCCAUUUACUUUCUUUGCCAGCUGUGUGGUGAAAUUGUGCUGCAGUGUCACACUUUCAUUCAUCGGCUCCCAAAGACCAAUUUUCAUAGCCCCUCUGCAUAACUUUAGUUCUUGUAUUAUUUUACUUAUUAGUCCAGCAACAUGUUAUUGCAUCCUAUGUAUAUGAAUGUCAUGCAGUUAAAUAAUUUUUAUUUAUUGUUUUAACUUCACAUUUUGAUGUGUCUUUGUUAUAUUGUGAUGCACAUUGUACUGUCAUUUAACUUUUAUCUAACGACAUCAUAAAUUUCUUCUUUCUUAAAAGUCCUUACGUCGUUUUGCAGCAAAAGUACCAUAGUGUAUUUAUUCAUCGAUGUGAAUUGCCUGUAGUUUAAUACACGUGGCAAGUUUAACACUUAUAUGCAUUGAACUGACGCAUGUACUACCGUAGGCAAUCUUUGUACGUCGAUAUACAGUCCGUGUGCUCACUUUGUUGUGCCUACUAUUUUUGUCACGGUGGUGCAGUAUACUGGUAUGUGUUACAUACUUUUUAUAAUUUCUGUAUGUUGUCUCACAGCUCACGUCUGAUUACGAUUUUUUGAAACGCGCACAUCUAAUACAGAACUAUGCGAUUGAGACCUUUUUUGUAAUUGCAAUUUGUGUCAAAUAUUAAUCGUCACCUACCACUACUGUGGAAGUAUUAGUAGAUCGAGUAAUGGCUAUUCAUUUCACAUUGUUUAUAGUGGCUCAUUGGCCAUUCUGAUGUGGUAACUACCGUGUUUACCCGAGUAUAAGAUGACCUCCCCCUCCUUUUUUAAGAGGCAUCUUUAAAGAAAUUUUUUGUAAUAUAUUCUGACUAAUCAAAAUCACAAACUGUUCUAUUGGCAAAGUAUCUGCCAAAAAGUUAACAUUAUGCCUGUUUUAAACUUAUACCAUUUAUUGAUUGUCUACGUUGUGAUAAUACCAGGAAAAAUAAAAGGAACAAAAAGGAAUGGUUUACAUUAAUUUUUGGACCAUUUUCUUUUCUACCUUUUCAGCUUCCCGUUGUAACAAUUAGUCAGUUUAGUAUGAUUUAUUUCCUUUGUUAGACAUUUCAUUCUCAAUUAAGUUUUGUUCUUGUUUCAACUGAAUGUCACCAGCGUGUUCUAAACUGAUUAAAAGCUGGUAAUGUCCUUACCCAGUAUUUUAAUACAUGAACAGUGACUGCAUUGUCAUUUGCAAUCCCCUUAGUAAGUCAUUAGUCUGUCAUAAUCAAAGAAAAUACUGGUCUCAGUUUUGAAUCGACUAAUGUUUUUUUGAAGGACAUUUCCGUUUUUGAAUGUUACCUUUACUUAAAUAAGGCAUUAAUGUUUGAUACAGUGCCUGCAUAUUUAUGAGGAGGUUUAUUGCAAACCUGUUCGUGUACAACAUAAGUUUAUAAGAUGAUAGAAUUUAAUGUGAUUUCUUCCUGUGUUCCACAAAACUGUCAAAUAUUAAUCCGAGCAAUAGACUGUUUUAGUUGCUAGAUAAUGUGUCUUGCGUAUCUCUCACACUAGCGCCACAUCAGUCAGUGUCGCACGAUAGUUAGAGCGACCUUGACGCUGUACCGGGUGCUGUGGCGUAUCGAGAAGUUUCGAGCCUGUCGGCAUGCGAGUAUUGUUUGCCAAUCCCAGGCCUUCCAAAUUCUUCAAAAUAAAUUUGUUCGUGACGUCAAAAGACAAGACAGGCUUCUACUACAGCCACACAAAAGGCAACAUACCGAUACAGUUUUUUGGCCCUGUUUUCUGUGUUGAAAGCAUAGUAAAAACAGUGCGUACUCUUGGCCCGUUAUAUCAUAAAAAGGAGAGUCCUGUUGCAGAUCAUCUGGUGGACCAUGUUAAUCCAAAAAAGAGGAGAAAAGUUAUCAUGGACACACAAAAGAAAGGCUGUCCAGCAACAUUGGACGUUAAGUGUGUCAGGGUAUUCCCCGAUUAUUCGAUAAACUCGGCAACAGACAGUUAAAAAAAAAUAUUCACAGGUACUCUGCGUUCUUGUGCCACAUUUAAAAGCAACAUUCAGAUCAGCUUUCUUGGUUCUUUUGUAUUGCAUGGGAGCAAUGGACAAGCCACAAGUAAAGUUUACGAGAGAGUUGCAGUUGCACAUCACCUUGGCAACAUCAAGGUGACACAGUUGUCAUCUCCCAGCAGCGAGAGGCAAUAUUGUGAUAAUUCCUCUGAACCUCCUUCUCUCGUGGAAAGUGUAAUUGACACACAAUGCAUACCAAGGUGUGAUAGUCCCUACUGUUAAAAAUAAGGUUGCAGUGGCACAUUACCUGGUUGUGUAUCAUCAAGGUGCAUAAAGUGAUAACAUUUAUUUACAUAAAUUCUUAUUAAAAGGCAAUUUUUUCAAUUAAUUUUGCUUUCUACACUUAAUCAGACCGUAUCAGUCCAAGGGAAAAUACAAUGAACACAAAUGAGAGAGUGCUCAGCUACAGUUUCAGACAAAUGGCUGAAUUUUCCAGGUUUUCUGUUCAGUGAACAAAUUACCACAUGGAGACAGAAGUUGCUGCAGAAGUGGCCUUGGUGUUCAAGUAAGACAGAAAGGCAAAUUUCUGAACUUUUUUUUUAUCAUGAUGCUAUUACAUCAUCCUCAGGAUAUGAUGUAGCUAGUGCCACAUUCUCAAAGUCUGUCAAUGUUUAUAGUGCUGUAGGUCAGGUUUAUAACCAGCCUAGCCAACUGCCUUUCAUCUUGUUCCUCUGAUGAAGUUGAGCUUCUGGGAUUGUCACUGCCUUGGUUUACUGCCUCCUCACUGCUGUGGACUAUGUAUGUGAAUUGGACAUAUGAUGAAAUGUCAUUGUUUUAUUAUCCUUUUUGAGUGAAAACUAAACUUAAUGUAUUUCCUGUUACAGAUAAUAAAACAAUGUGGUAUCAAUAA